UUAAACCCAACUCCUGAAGAAACCCCUACAUAAGAUAUCAGGUCUUUACCGGAACCUGGGAGUUGAGAGCAAAAUAGGUGCAUGUUUCAGUCUGCGGCUUUAAACAAUUUUCUUAACUCUUUAGCUAGCCAUUAACCUGAAGUAAGAAAAUGCAGCAGUUUUAAGCAAAAUGAGAGGGAAGAGUGCAAAAACCUAAACUGAAA